rnacentral:rRNA from 1 species
AUGCAUGUCUAAGUAUAAGCCUCGACAAGGUGAAACCGCGAAUGGCUCAUUAAAUCAGUUAUGGUUCCUUAGAUCGUUCCAUCCUACUUGGAUAACUGUAGUAAUUCUAGAGCUAAUACAUGCGACGAAGCUCCGACCCGCGAGGGGAAGAGCGCUUUUAUUAGACCAAGACCAGAACGGCCUCCGGCCGUACAACCAUUGGUGACUCUGGACAACUCUAGCGGAUCGCACGGCCCGAGCGCCGGCGACGUAUCUUUCAAAUGUCUGCCCUAUCAACUUUCGACGGUUGGUGACUUGCCAACCGUGGUGAUAACGGGUAGCGGGGAAUCAGGGUUCGAUUCCGGAGAGGGAGCAUGAGAAACGGCUACCACA